rnacentral:lncRNA from 1 species
GUCCCACACAGCCCCGCCCCGGCCGGACUCAGCCUCAUCUCACUCCGCCUUCCUGCGCGUUGUACGGUUGCCAAGGGGACGCACCACUCUCCAGGACCUUCUGGGCGCAUCUGGGGACUAAGAAAAGCCAGAGACAGGCCAGACAAGAAGAAGGUUUAACAUUAGACACCUGAGUGGCUGCUGUGAUAAGAUACCAUUAAACAUGAUGGCGUGGUGCUGAUAUGAGAAAGUUCUUGAAUCCCCAGAUGUGGAACCCAUGGAUAUGGAGGGCUAACUAUAUACAUCCCAUGCACUGAGAAAAUAGGAAAUGGC